UUGAUCCCAUGGCUCAGAUUGAACGCUGGCGGCAGGCCUAACACAUGCAAGUCGAGCGGCAGCACGGGUACUUGUACCUGGUGGCGAGCGGCGGACGGGUGAGUAAUGCCUAGGAAUCUGCCUGGUAGUGGGGGAUAACGCUCGGAAACGGACGCUAAUACCGCAUACGUCCUACGGGAGAAAGCAGGGGACCUUCGGGCCUUGCGCUAUCAGAUGAGCCUAGGUCGGAUUAGCUAGUUGGUGAGGUAAUGGCUCACCAAGGCGACGAUCCGUAACUGGUCUGAGAGGAUGAUCAGUCACACUGGAACUGAGACACGGUCCAGACUCCUACGGGAGGCAGCAGUGGGGAAUAUUGGACAAUGGGCGAAAGCCUGAUCCAGCCAUGCCGCGUGUGUGAAGAAGGUCUUCGGAUUGUAAAGCACUUUAAGUUGGGAGGAAGGGCAGUUACCUAAUACGUAUCUGUUUUGACGUUACCGACAGAAUAAGCACCGGC
rnacentral:rRNA from 1 species